AAAUGGGGUUGUCCAAGCUGCUCUGAAAUUCCUGGGCUCAGGCGAUCCUCCCACUUCACUUUCCUGAGUAGCUGGGAUUACAGGUGCAUGCCACUGCAUCCGCCUCCGUUUUAACUGUUCCUGAGUACAAUUUGGUGGUGUUAAAGCACAUUCACAAUUUUGUGUUUUCACCAGUAUCUGUUUGCACUAUAUCAUCUGUCUCAAACAAACUCUGUAUCCAUUAAACAGUAACUCUUUUAUUCCCUGUCCCUCCAGCCUAUGGUAAUCUCCAUUCUACUUUCUGUUUCUGUAAAUUUGCCAUUUCUAGGUACUGUGUAUAAGUGGAAUCAUACAAUAUUUUUCCUUUUUUGUCUGGCUUAUUUCAUUUAGCAUAAUGUUUACAGAUUUUAUCUAUGUUGUAGUAUGUGUCAGCAUUUCCUUUUUUAAGGCUGAAUAAUACUACAGUGUAUGUACAUACCACCUUUUAUCCAUUCAUCUGUUGGUGUACAAUUGUGUUGUUUCUACCUUGAGCUAUUUUGAAUAUGCUGCUGUGAACAUUGGUGUACAAAUAUCUGUUCGAAUCCCUUCUUUCGGUUCCUUUGGGUGUAUACCCAGAAGUGGAAUUACUGAUCAGGUGGUAAUUUUAUGAGAAACUGAUACACUAUUUUUCACAGCAGCUACACUGUUUUACAUUCCCACCAGCAUUGCCAAGGGUUCCAGUUUCAUUACGUUUCAUUCCAGUUUCAUUCUAACACUUGUUCUUUUCUGAUUUUUUAAAAUAAUAACUAUCCUAAUGGGUGUCAAGUGAUGUUUCAUUGUGGUUUUGAUUUGUAUUUCCCUAAUGAUUUAUGAUGUUGAGCAUCUUUUCAUGUGCUUAUUGGCCAUUUCUGUCUUUGGAGACGUUUUUAUUCAAGUUUUUGCCCAUUUUAAAAUUGAGUUGUUUUGAAUUUUAGGAGUGCCCUACAUAUUUUGCGUAAUAAUCUCUUAUCAGAUAUAUUAUUUGCAAAUAUUUUCUCCCAUUCUGUGGAUUGCCAUUUCACUCUGUUAAUACUGUUCUUUGAUGCACAAAAGUUUUUAAUUUUGAUGAGGUUUAGUUUGUUUUUUUUUUGUUGCCUGUGUUCUUGGUCUCAUGUACAAGAGAUCAUGGUCAAAUUCAAUGUCCUGAAGCUUCCCCCUAUGUUUUCUUCUAAGCAUUUUAUAGUUCUAGCUUUUAUGUUUUGGUCUUUGAUCCCUUUUGAGUUAAUUUUGGUAUAUGGUAUAUUGUAGGGGCUCCCACUUGAUUCUCUUGCAUGUGGAUAUGCAGUUUUUCCAGCACCAUUUGCUAAAAAGACUGUCCAUUAUUGAAUGGUUAUGUCACACAUGUUGAAAUUAAUUGACCAUAUGUAUGUGUGGGUUUGUGCCCCUUUUCCCCCCGCCAUUCCAUUUUUCUGCACAAUUGACCCUUGAACAACAUGGGGAUUAGGGGCACUGACCACUACCCUCUCUCCAUACAUUUGAAAUACAUGAAAUACAUACUUUUUUAAUUUCCCCAAAACUUAACUACUAAUAGCCUGCUGUUGACUGAAAGCCUUACUGAUAGCAAAACCAGUUGAUUAACAACACGUAUUUUGUAUGUUAUAUGUAAAUAUAUGUACUGUAUUCUUACAUAAUGUUAGCCAGCAAAAAGAAAAUAUUACUAAAAUCAUAAGGAAGAGAAAAUAUAUUUACUGUUCAUUAAAUGGAAGUGGAUCAUCAUAAAGGUCUUCAUAUUCACCAUCUUCACAUUGAGUAGGCUGAGUAGAAGGAAAAGGAGGAGUUGGUCUUGCUGUUUCAUGGGUAGCAGAGGUGGAAGGAGGUAUAAGUGGACUCAUGCAGUUGAAACUUAUGUUGUUUGAGCACCAGCUGUAUGUGCUUGUCCUUAUGCCAGCAGUACACCAUUUUGGUUACUGUAGCUUUGUAGUGAUUUUUGAAGUCAGUGAAUUUGAGUCCUCUAACUUUGUUCUUUUUCAAGAUUGUUUUGGCUAUUUGUGAUCUGAGAUUACAUUUGAAUUUUAGGAUGAGGUUUUCUAUUUCUGCAAAAAACACCAUUGGGAUUUUGAUAGGGAUUACAUUUAAUCUGUAUAUUACUUUGAGUAGUA
rnacentral:lncRNA from 1 species